GUGUCCUUGUAAGGUUGCCACAGUGCCUUGAGAGGGUAACACAGAGGGUAAAGUCUCCAUAACUCCCAGAAAAGAGAUUGUCUAAAACUCCUCUUUGGAUUAUUUCUGGAGUCACUGCU